CUGAUCAAGCCCUAACCUUUGUUAAGAUGUGUGUGUGCCCUGGACCUGAGCUCUCACCAAGGAUACAUACACAAAACAAAAUAUCAAGAUUGUUUUCCCCUGGUUUACAUGGAUAUAAAAGGGGUCAUUUGAAAGGGGAUUUUUGGAGUACUUUGAUGUCAGAGAUAGGGAUGCCGAAUCUCUGUUGACCAGAGGCAGAUCAAGUGGACAUCCUCUGUUGAGUUGGAGCGGGAUGCUGCUCCGUUGCCUCCCUGACCAGACCCCUUGACCGUUCUUCAGUCUCCUUGGUCCAGUUCUUUUAAGAAAAAAAGUAACUUCAGUACUGAACCCAAGAUUAAAUUCGAAACAGAAUUUUGGGCCUGUUGUGCACUAGGACUUCUUUUCAUCUUGCUGCCUGGACCAGAGGCUAUGUCCCAGAAGGCAUGAUCCUUUGAACUCUGGAACUCCUUCCCUGGGGUCUUUCUGUCUAAUUGACUAAAUGUCACCAAUUCCUUUAGCUGAUCUUCCUAUGGUGUGAACUCUAGACCCUUCAUCCUUCUGGUUUCCUCCUCAGGACGCUCUCCGACUUAUCAAUAGCCCAAUCUUGAAAGACUGAGCACCAAACCAAGAAGAAAUGGUGUAUCGUUGAAUACUGACCAAGGACUAAGAUGUGUGAAAAAUCAACCCGGCUAAGUAAAAUGUAGCACCCAGAACUGAACACUGUGUUCCAGAUGCUAUCUGACUUGGGCAGAGGAUAGCUAGGCUACCACCCUUCUUAUCCUGGAUGCUAUGUACCUGCACCUGUCUUAACGUACCCAAGGUUCACUGGUGCAUUGUAGAAGGACAGCCACUCUCCUCUUAGAAUAUGAAAUUCCACAGGGAUAGAUACAUGCAGCUUUUGAUGUUAAAAUACUUUUUAAUGUGAUCAAAGAUGAUUCUUACAGGUGAUUAUGUUGAUGUUUCUCCUAA